rnacentral:rRNA from 1 species
UACGUAGGGUGCAAGCGUUAAUCGGAAUUACUGGGCGUAAAGCGUGCGCAGGCGGUUGUGCAAGACCGAUGUGAAAUCCCCGGGCUUAACCUGGGAAUGGCAUUGGUGACUGCACGGCUAGAGUGCGUCAGAGGGGGGUAGAAUUCCACGUGUAGCAGUGAAAUGCGUAGAGAUGUGGAGGAAUACCGAUGGCGAAGGCAGCCCCCUGGGAUAACACUGACGCUCAUGCACGAAAGCGUGGGGAGCAAACAGG